rnacentral:rRNA from 1 species
UACGAAGGGGGCUAGCGUUGUUCGGAUUUACUGGGCGUAAAGCGCACGUAGGCGGAUUGUUAAGUCGGGGGUGAAAUCCUGGAGCUCAACUCCAGAAUUGCCUUCGAUACUGGCUUUCUAGAGGCUGGAAGAGGUUAGUGGAAUUCCCAGUGUAGAGGUGAAAUUCGUAGAUAUUGGGAAGAACACCAGUGGCGAAGGCGGCUAACUGGUCCAGACUGUCGACGCUGAGGUGCGAAAGCGUGGGGAGCAAACAGGG